UAGUAAUCGUGGAUCAGAAUGCCACGGUGAAUACGUUCCCGGGCCUUGUACACACCGCCCGUCACACCAUGGGAGUGGGUUGCAAAAGAAGUAGGUAGCUUAACCUUCGGGAGGGCGCUUACCACUUUGUGAUUCAUGACUGGGGUGAAGUCGUAACAAGGUAACCGUAGGGGAACCUGCGGUUGGAUCACCUCCUUACCUUAAAGAAGC
rnacentral:rRNA from 4 species